rnacentral:rRNA from 1 species
UACGUAGGCAGCAAGCGUUGUUCGGAAUUACUGGGCGUAAAGAGUGUGUAGGCGGUGCUCUAAGUUCGGUGUGAAAUCUCCCGGCUUAACUGGGAGGGUGCGCCGGAAACUGGAGUGCUCGAGCGUGGGAGAGGAAAGCGGAAUUCCUGGUGUAGCGGUGAAAUGCGCAGAUAUCAGGAGGAACACCGGUGGCGAAGGCGGUUCUCUGGGCAUGUUCUGACGCUGAGGAGCGAAAGUGUGGGGAGCGAACAGG